GGGUCUGUAGCUCAACGGCAGAGCAGGGGACUCAUAAUCCCUUGGUUGCAGGUUCGAAUCCUGCCAGACCCA
rfam:Methylacidiphilum infernorum V4, complete genome.